rnacentral:lncRNA from 9 species
GGAUCUGAGAGGGCUACUCUCUUACAGAGUGUAAGUCUCGCAAAUCUUGAGAAAUGUUUUGUUCAACAGUGAUAUAGCAAAGUUUGACCAUGGCUAAGAAGCAUUCAUUCCGUCAGGAGUCCAUGGAGCAGAAGAGCCCAGUGGUCUAUUUGGAGCUUUCUUAGCUUAAAAUUAUUUGCUAUCAUUAUCAAAUUUCCUCCUCUAUUGUUCUUUUUUUGUCUUUGUCUUCGUUUCCCUCAAAAUAGUAAUUUUUAAAUCUUAUGUUAUUUCUAUGGUCCUCCAUCCUUUCACUCUGAAAGUUUUCCUGGAGAUUCCACUGAGAUCCACUCUGCAUUGCCUGUCACUUUAACCAGGUAUGAUACUUACGGAAGCUCCUGUGCUUUGCCGCUGAGGCUUGUUGAAUCCAUGCCACUGCGGUAAGUCACUACUAUGUCUGAAUUGGCUCUUUUUGUAGAAGUUAGCUGUUUAUUCUCACUGUGGUAACAGGGUUUUGUUAUUGGGUCUCAUUUGUUUGGCAUCCUUGGUGGAAUCAAGCCUUUCGUUUUCAUUGCCUUUUGCUUUCUUUCGUGCUUCCAUUUUUUGUUGUGUGUCUAAAAGUGUUGUAAUGAGAAGGAGACUCACUGAAUAGAAUAUUAACAUGAACCCUUAUAGGGUAUAAGCCUGUUGUGCAAAAGCCAGUUUCACUGACCAUUGAAUUUAUGGUUUCUCAUCAAGCCAAUAUCCAUUUGGGAAAAAUGUUGUGUGUCAACAGUAAACCUGAUAAGGUUCUCCUACCAUCUUUAGUUUCUGAUUUGAGAGCUUGGCUUUGAGAGGUCUGAGAAUUUUCUGCUUGGGGAGUGGGUGCAGACUGUCAGGCCUGUGUUUGGAGGCAGUUUUUGAGCGAACAUUGCUAUGGGGUUGUCUAAGCCUAAAUCAUCUCUUUUCGUUGGAAAGAUUUCUGCUUCUUAUGGGUGCCCUCUAAGUCUUCUACCUAUUUCUCUAAAGGCAUAACUUCACUGAGCUUGAUUUGAGUUUCAGUGGCCAUUCUGGGGAACAUUUGAUUUGAAUACAAUUGUUCAUUUGCUGUUUUUGCCACCAGCAUUUAUGACCCCAGAGACAGCCAUAACUGGCCCCUGUCUUCCCAGGAGACCCUCCAAGACCAGCAGAUAGGUUUGGUCCUGUCUCCUAUAAAGUCACCACCUUUGCCCUGAUCCUCAUGGGCAUGUAAGCUUGUGUUUGCCUGCUAAGAGUAGAGGCUCUGUUUCCCCCAGUCCUGUGAGCUCCUGCAGUCAAACCCCACUGACCUUCAAAGCCAAAUGCUCUGGGGGAUCCACCCCCUGAUGCUAGACUCCAGGCUGGAGAGUCUGACAUUGGGCUCAGAACUCUCACUCCUGUGGGAGAACUUCUGCGAUUCAAUUAUUCUUCAGUUUGUGGGUUGCCCACCUUGGGAGUAUGGGAUUUAAUUGUAUUGUGAGUGUGCCCCUCAUACUCUCUUGUUGAGGUUCUUCUUUAUGUUUUUGAAUGUGGAAUGUCUUUUUGUUAGGUUUCAGCCUUUUUAAAUUGAUGGUUGUUCAGCAGUUAGUUGUGAUUUUGUUAUUCUUUGGAGAGGAGGUGAACACAAAACCCUUCUAUUCUGCCAUUUUGUCUCCAAUCUCCAACUGUUCAUUUGAGAAACACCUUAUAAAGAGAAUAUUUUUCAGGCCCAAUGGGAAGCAUUUUUUAACCAGUAACAGCAGCUUCCAAAUAAAAUUCUCAUCAACAAUUUCUUCACUAGAAGAUUUUUUGGCCAACGCUAAUGAGCAAUUUGACAAGCUCAUGUAACAAAAAAUAAGACUUGUCUCCCAGGUAAAUGCUCCCCAUCCUUGUCCUCCAGUUCCUAUCACUAUCCAAAUAUUCCUCUUCUUUUUUCCCUUCUGAUUUCUCCUUCGAUACCUCUUUUAACUCCUCCCUUCUCUUUCUCUUGUUUGAUCACCUAAUUCUUUUAAGAAUCCAAACUCUAGUUUCCUGUAAAGAUCUAUCCCUCCAUGGGUCAAUCAUGUAAGCAAGUGUAGACUUUAAACUAUGGAACCAAUCUAUAUCAAAGCUAUAACUGAGGAUUUCCCUGAAGCAACAGACCAGCAAACAUUCAUGGAAAAAUUUCAAAUUCUUUGAAGUGCAUUGGAACCUCAAAUGCUAAAUUGGUAUUGCAAAAGGUGAUUGAACUGACCUAGAAAAGGAACCAAAAGAUCCUUCCUUCCAUAGUAAACUUGAGAGUUAAAAAAUGCAUGCUUCCCAAUAGAGGAAAGUUUCCUAAAAGCCAUGCUCCAAAUAUUUCCAGUAAAAAUCAUUUGAAGAUCUGUUGCAUAAUAAUGUGAAUGUAGUUAACACUACUAAACUUUACACUCAAAAAUGAUUAAGAUUAUUUCAUGUUAUAUGCUUUUUUAACCACAAUUAAACAUUUAAAAAAAUUAAAAAAUAUUAAAAUUUGGUUGAACUAUAGUUUAAUCAUGGAAACUGAAAAGAAAUAAUAGGAGAUUUUUAGAAAGAUUAGAAAAUACCUUCUAAAAAUAUUUGGGAGUUAAAGAAGGGACAGCCCUUUCAUUUCAUUUUGACAAUGGAGUUAAACAUGAAAAUGGAGAUCUAAUUUAGAAACAAAAUUGGGGCGUUCUCAUGUGGCUCAGUGGGUUAAGGUUCCAGUGUUGUCACUGAAGUGGCUCAGGUCACUGCUGUGGCAUGGGUUCAAUCCAUGGUCCUGAGAAGUUCCACAUACACUGUCUCCCCCCCCCCGCCCCCCGCCCCUGAAAAAAAAAACAAAACAAAAAAACCUAAGUUGGAAUGGUAAAUAAUCCCUUACACCUGACAGAACAUUUUGAAAGGGCUUUAGAAAAAAACAAGCUGGAAGGAGUUCCCGUCGUGAUGCAGUGGUUAAUGAAUCCGACUGGGAACAAUGAUGUUGCGGGUUCUAUCCCUGCCCUUGCUCAGUGGGUUAACGAUCCGGCGUUGCCGUCUGUAGGUUGAAGAUGCGGCUCGGAUCCAGCGUUGCUGUGGCUCUAGCAUAGGCCGGUGACUAUAGCUCCGAUUAGACCCCUAGCCUGGGAACCUCCAUAUGCCGCCCGAGUGGCCCAAGAAAUGGCAAAAAGACAAAAACAAACAAAAAAUCAAGCUGGAAGCCAAAAUAAACUUAAGGUCCUGUAGGUCAAAUGGUUAGGUAGUCCACUGUCAGACUAACCACUUGUUGAAAAGGACACUAAUAGAUAUUUAUAAAUUGAAAUGACCCUGGGAAAAAAGGCAGUCCCAUCCAACCAAAGAAAAACCAAGGCAAAGAAAAAUUAUUUAAUUCAGAUGAAUGAGGGGUGUUUCAAGGAAGGAAAAAGAGCUCAAUAUUUUGCCUUAACUUUAAACAUUCAGAGUGAGUUAAAUAUAAAGGUAGAUGGUCCACCUCAUUAAUUACUGGUCGAUAUGGACACUCCUUUUUCCACACUAAACUCUGCCAUGUGUGCCUAACUGCUUCCUGAGAGUAAAAGUACCACUCAGAUGGUAGGUAUUUCAAAUAAACAGAGAUGUUCCCUACAUCUGAACCCUUACUCUAAUCCUCAGGCCCUUGACUAAAAUUAUGCCUUCCUCUUCUGUGAUACCACUCCUGCAAACUUAAUAGGGAAUAAUUUACUUUACAAAUGAGACUGUAAUAUUAAAUACACAGCAGAGGGACCAUUUCUUGAGGACACUCCUAUUUGUAAUCAAACUGUGUCUUCUUUGGAUAGUCCUUUGUCUUCUCCAUUAUAUUUGAUAUGUUCCCACAGACAAAGAUCUUUACACCAUACCUGACACUAGGAGCUAAAAUUUCAGCUGACAUAGGAAAAAUAAUAGAAGUAGAACCCAGCAAAGUUCAGAUAGAUCCUACCAAACCAUUAUCCAAACUUCCCCAAUAUUUCUUGAAGCUGGAAGCAAAAGAAAGGAUCAAACCUAUAGUUAAAAGGUUGAUAUACAAAGAUCUUAUACUACACAAUAGCCUUUGUAACACUCUUGUCCUGCCAGUUAAGGACCUAGACAGAGGAGGAUGUUGAUUUGUUCAGACUUCAGCACCAUCAGCAAAAUUGUUAGCCUUUGGUUCCUGAUAGUUUCUAAUGUAAAUACUAUCCUGUCGUUAACUCUACUUGAAGCUACUUGCUUUACCGUAUUGGAUCACGGCUCUGCCUUUUUCAUUGUGGCUUUAGAACAGAAUAGGCAGUAUCUUUUUGCCUUUACCUGAGUAGGACAGCAAUAUACCUGAGCAAUCAUAUCCCAGGGUUUUUUCCUCAAAUCAAUACUUAAAGAUUAAACCUCCCAUGUGAUUCAUUUGUAAGAAUAUGUGGACGAUCUACUUUGUUCAGAGAACAAGUAAACUUAAAGUAUUCAAUUUACAUUCUCUCAGCCCUAGCAAAAAAGGGACAUACAGUCACAAAUGACAAAUUUUGCUAAAAUAUAGUUUGUUAUUUAGGGUAUGGCCUAUAUAAUGAGGGGAAAGAACACUAUCUCCUGUUAGACUAAAAACAAUCUAAACUUAACCUAGAUGCUUUAAAAAAUAACUAUAAAGAUAAUUCCACAUUUAAGUGGAUAUUAUAGACAAUGGGUGCCAAAUUUUACUGAAAUUGUAACACCCUUUUAGGUGUCGAGUGAGUCUAUAUUAGGAAACUCUAUUUUCAGAGAGCUCAGACAUUAACAGGCCUUCUAUAACCUAAAAAAGGGCUCUUGAACAACUUUACUUAGACAUCACUGACUACAAAAACCACUUUUGUCUAUUUGUGCAAGGUAGACAAGCAUUUGCAGUUGUAACUCCCUUUCAUGGGAACUACCAGUUACUGUACCCUCACUCCUGAUAUGAUGACUGCUGCUGUACGACUUUGGCUUCUGCUGAACUAGAUCUGGGUUCCCUGUUUGACUUCUUGGUUUCUCAUGUGGUACAGCCAUUACCACUGGCUGAGAACACAAAACACUUUUCAGCCAGCCAGUUAAUUUUUAUGAAAUUCUUUCACUUUCCCCCCCUCACAUUAUUAUUCUCCACUGCAAUACCCUGAUCCCACCACUGUCCAGUUCCUACCAGAAGAAGGGGCUCCUCAUGAUUGUUAAACCUCAGUUAGGGAACUGUCUGUACUCUGCUCAGAUUUACUGGAGAUUCCCAAUGAGAACUCUGACCUAAUUAUUUAUUAAUGGAUCAUAUUUCCAAACUGAAACUGAAGAUCAUAAAACAAAAUCUUCACACUAAUUUAUGCUCUUCUUUAGAAAAUAGUCCUCUUCCAUUGGUGGAUGUAGUCCUCUACCAUAGGUAAAGUAAGCUUAAAUGGAGCACUUACUGCACCUACUAGAUCUUCUCAAUUAAACUAAGACCAGAGAGUAAACAUAUAUACAGAUAGCAGAUAUGCUUUUGGCAUAGUACCUGGCUUUGGGGUGCUUUGGAAACAAAAGGAGACUCUCGGUUCUGCUAGAAUCUCCAUUAGAAAUGAAAAACAAAUCGAGGAACUUAUAGACACACUCCCACUUUCCCAGCAACAUGGCUGUUGUAAAAGUUGAGGCCAAUGCAAAGACAUAGUAUGGAAGCUGAAGGAAAUGCUCUAGUAGGUUAGUAUCUCAGAUAAGCAGCCUUAACCAAGGUUAUUAUCCUAUCUAAUCCCUGAAGGGAUAAGUCCUAGAGAGAUUCAAAGAGGCCAUUAUAAACUACAUUGAGCCCCUGGUUUGUAAAGGGAAGGAUAGGAAAAAUCUGGUUGUGCUCUUCAGUCAGAUGCUAAAACUAGUCAUUGGCCUGAAACUAUUCAUCAUGAUACAGGCAAGUUAGUUACUCCCUUAAAUCAACAUUGAUGGGGAAAUUUAAAAAACAUAGCUGAGGAGUUCCCGUCGUGGCGCAGUGGUUAACGAAUCCGACUAGGAGCCAUGAGGUUGCGGGUUCGGUCCCUGCCCUUGCUCAGUGGGUUAACGAUCUGGCGUUGCCGUGAGCUGUGGUGUAGGUUGCAGAUGUGGCUCGGAUCCCGCGUUGCUGUGGCUCUGGUGUAGGCCAGUGGCUACAGCUCCGAUUCGACCCCUAGCCUGGGAACCUCCAUAUGCCGCGGGAGCGGCCCAAGAAAUGGCAAAAAGACAAAAUAAAUAAAUAAAUAAAUAAAUAAAUAAAAAACAGAGCUGAGUUUAUUUGGGGGUCAUGUGUUGCCUGUCAACAAACUAUAAAAGUAGGAUAUUACCAGAAACCAAAGCCUUAAGAGCUUUUUGAACAUCCUGAAAUGUAUUUUAUCCAUCUUCCACCUCUUUGGGAUUAGACUGUAUUUUAGUUAUGCAUGUCUAUUUUCAGAAUGGUUUGAAGCAUUUUCUUGUUGAAAAACUACAGCCUCUACAGUUGCUAAAAAUCUGCUUGAAUUUGUGUUUCUAACCUAUAGCCUAUCAACUUCUGUUUCAGUGAUCAAGGCACAUAUUAUAUUGGAAAUAAUAAAAGAACUCUGUGGUGUUAGCCCUUUCUCAAAACCCAUACUGUCCUAACCUCCUACAAUCUUCUGGAAAGGUUGAAAGAACCAAAGCCUUCCUUAAAUUAAAAUUAGGGGAAUUGGAGUUCCCGUCUUGGCUCAGUGGUCAACAAACCUGACUAGUAUCCAUGAGGAUGUGGUCUUGAUACCUGGCCUCUCUCAGUGGGUUAAGGAUCUGGUGUGGCUGUGGCUGUGGCUGUGGUGUAGGCUGGCAGCUACAAGUC